rnacentral:rRNA from 1 species
GAUGAACGCUGGCGGCGUGCCUAAUACAUGCAAGUCGAGCGAACGGACGAGAAGCUUGCUUUUCUGAUGUUAGCGGCGGACGGGUGAGUAACACGUGGAUAACCUACUUAUAAGACUGGGAUAACUUCGGGAAACCGGAGCUAAUACCGGAUAAUAUUUUGAACCGCAUGGUUCAAAAGUGAAAGACGGUCUUGCUGUCACUUAUAGAUGGUUCCGCGCUGCAUUAGCUAGUUGGUAAGGUAACGGCUUACCAAGGCAACGAUGCAUAGCCGACCUGAGAGGGGGAUCGGCCACACUGGAACUGAGACACGGUCCAGACUCCUACGGGAGGCAGCAGUAGGGAAUCUUCCGCAAUGGGCGAAAGCCUGACGGAGCAACGCCGCGUGAGUGAUGAAGGUCUUCGGAUCGUAAAACUCUGUUAUUAGGGAAGAACAUAUGUGUAAGUAACUGUGCACAUCUUGACGGUACCUAAUCAGAAAGCCACGGCUAACUACGUG